rnacentral:rRNA from 1 species
GACGAACGCUGGCGGCGUGCUUAACACAUGCAAGUCGAACGGAAAGGCCCUGCUUUUGUGGGGUGCUCGAGUGGCGAACGGGUGAGUAACACGUGAGUAACCUGCCCUUGACUUUGGGAUAACUUCAGGAAACUGGGGCUAAUAUCGGAUAUGAGCUCCUGCUGCAUGGAGGGGGUAGGAAAGUUUCGGCGGUCGGGGAUGGACUUGCGGCUUAUCAGCUUGUGGGUGGGGUAGUGGCUUACCAAGGCUUUGACAGGUAGCUGGCCUGUGCAGGUGACCGGGCACCUUAGGCCUACGGUACGGCCCAGUCUCCUACGGGAGGCAGCCGAGGGAAGUAUUACGCAAUAGACGGAAGCCUGAUGCAACAGCCCCGCGUGCGGGAUCACGGCCUUCGGGUUGUAAACCGCUUUCGCCUGUGACGAAGCGAGAGUGACGGUAAUGGAUAAAAAAGCACCGGCUAACUACGUG